rnacentral:lncRNA from 1 species
GACUCUUAUCAAUGAUACAUCGAUCUGCACCCUACUCUGUGUGUGUGACCAGAGAAGGGAUGUUUUUGCAUUUCUUCUAAAAUUAGAAAAAUCCUCAAAAAAUUUAUGUGGAUAGAGGAUUCAAUCUUAAUUCCAAAACAUAUAAUGAGUAGAUAAAAAUUAUCAUAAAUAGAUGUGUUCUCACAUCCUUUCACAUGAAGUCUGAUCACCCCACG